AUAAUCACCUGGAAGAACUUGCUAGCAACAUGUUGGGGGAGACAAACCUCCAGGGAAUAUAAUAACUUUAGAUGCGGAAUGUUGCCUGGAAAUUUGCCCUUGUAACAAGAUCCCCAGGUGAUUCCAGUGGGAAAUUGAAGAGAGGCAAUGAUGUGGAAAUUUGACAGAGGGAAGGGUAUAUGCAAAGAUGAUAAGGUAGCAGAAAAUAUAGAUGAUAGAGGAACAAGUUACAUGAUGCUACAUAGAAAAAAUCUAACAAGUCCAGAACGUGAGUCGUUCUAUACAGGACAACUAGCCCAACUUUAUCAAGUCAAAGAACAAGAUGUAUCAACAUUUGGAAGAUCUGCAUAACUUGAUGGAUCAAUGCUUUCCACAUGACUAAUGCACAAUAUUACAAAAUCACACAUGGGUAAAAGAUUCAUUUAAAGUGCAAAAUAAACCAAUGGAUUUUAAUGUACAAGAG